rnacentral:rRNA from 1 species
CGCGUAGGCGGCCCGGCAAGUGGUGUGUGAAAUGCCCUGGCUCAACCAGGGAACUGCGCUCCAAACUGCUUGGCUUGAGGACAGUAGAGGAAGCUGGAAUUCCGGGUGUAGCGGUGAAAUGCGUAGAUAUCCGGAGGAACACCGUUGGCGAAGGCGAGCUUCUGGGCUGUUCCUGACGCUGAGGCGCGAAAGCUGGGGAGCAAACA